rnacentral:lncRNA from 1 species
CCUGCCCUCAAGAAGUAUAGUCUAGUUGUGGAGGAAAGAUAUCAACACAACUAACUGAGAUACAAGGAAGCAGUGAAGAGAAUCCCAAGAGAGACACAUAGGAGUUUGAAGAAGAAUUUACACCUGAGAAAGCAGGAUUCUUUCAUAGGGCAGAAGUAGUUUGACCUGGACCUUAAAUUAGGUUUUGGGUUGGAUUUAAAGAAUCCACAUUGAAGAAGAGUAUUCCUAGUGGGAAGAAUAGCAUUAGAAAAUGCACAGAGAUACCAAAAUAUUAGAUGUUUUUUGGAACUCUGAAACGAUUUCAUGUUUCCAGAAUACCAAGAAUUGGGGGUGUGGGAGGGGAGGCAGGAGAAGGAAGAUUUCAUGAGAAAUGAGAUUGGGACCAGACUGUGGAGGAUUUUGAGGGCUGAGAAGUUUUACUUCAUUCUAGAAAUAAUGAGGAACGACUCAGCAUUUGUUUGCCUGCAGUUUGCUUCAGUGACUGAAUAGUGAGGGAGCUGAAGAGUGAUUAAGCAGACUUGGGGCCAGAGUGAAUUCAAGUCUGAUUGCCUCUGGAGGGUGUCUUCCUUCAGCCUUCAUCACUGGAGUGAGGACUGAUAGGUGGCCCAGAAGCCAAGCCUCAUCCUGGAAUUCUGCCUACGUCAAAGGUUCCUUGUUUAAGGAUUACGAGGGGAGAAGUGGUUUGGAGUAUUCUGGCUACUGUCACACUUAUUUACAUAUUAAAAGUUGGUCUCUACCUU